CGAGACACGCACACGCACGCAUAGGCGUACACGAUUCGAUAGACUUGCAUCAAGACAGAUCCGCGUACCCCACGCAAGGCACGCAUCACUGAAACUGCUGCUGCGUGCGGUGUGGGCGAGGAGAGGAACACAAGCGCGUCGAUCCGCGGUAGCAGUACUGUGUGCAUCCGCCUUUCGUGCUGCCGACCAGGCGGACUUCCUCUUCAUCGUAGCACACACGCACACAUGCAGGAGCAGUAUGUGCGCAAGGCGUGUGUGACCAUUGCUAGCCAGAUCAUCCUUGUGACGGCUGGCGAUGGCACCAAGCACACGAAUACCAGCACAGGCAACAACAACAACAGCGUGGUGGCAGCGACGCGCGUGGCUACCACUCACCCUUCAACGACAUCAGCGGAGACCAAGGCCGUCACUGGUCUUGAUGAUCUGCAACGCGCCUGCGACGCGGUGGUGCGGCACGCCAUGACGCUCUACCGGCUGUGUCGCCGCCCCGGUGGAAGCACCAUCGACAUCGUUUCCGUUGGCACGAGCAGCGGUGGCAGCGGCGCCGGGGCGGCGAGUGCGACCGAGGAGGCCGCGUAUUGCGUCUGCGCGGCAGUCAUGGCGCUGGAGCCGAAUCUGUGGGCGUCUCUGGUGCGACGAGCGCAGCUGCUGCGCCCACGCAAACCGAGCUUUCUCUUCGUCGCCCCUGUCGCUGUCCCACCGGUCGUGGUGAAGGACGUGGUGCGUUUUUUUGGGCGUAGUCGCCAUCUAAUGCGCUCCACCGCAGCACCUACAGUGCUCGCAGGUGGCAUCCCCACUAGGGCAGCAGCAAGCACUGGCGCCGCAACGUCGUCCUUGGCUUGCACAGAGGUGGUAAGGGCACCGGCACCAGCCGCUUCCGCAUCCGCUUCGCCCUUUUCCACCACCACUUCCACCACCAGCACCGCAGCCACCGCUACCGCGACCUUUGGACUGCCGGCCCGGCAGGCGGAGGCUGUUGCUGCAUGUUUCUUCUUCAAGACCAUGUCGGCAGCGGAGAGACUGCGACGUAGUGACGUCUUUGAGGUGCACGCUCGGCUACCCGAUGCAAGUCGCGCUGUGGGAGCGUCGGCCAAAGCAAAUACGCUCACGACGGCAGCAGCACUCGACAGCACUCCGGUGGGCGCGCCCGCCGUGGAUGAAAGGGGUGGCGUCGUCGUGUCGUCUUCUCUGCGAAAACUCACCGGUGCGGUAACGGUUGCCACGGCUACGAGCGCGCAGGAGCUGACUGCAGGCCCGGGGAAAGGAGGGCGCCGGUCCGGGCUUCGAGCAAUGGCACGUGACGCUGCUGCUCCGGGUGACACCGAUCGCUCCUUGCACACACGUCCGACACGAUCAGCGGCUUCACUGCUGCCGUCGCACUUGCCUGCUGCAUCGAUGCUGUUCAACGACGGUUUGGGUGGCUGGGGUGGCCAGCAGGUAGCUGGCAGCACUCGCACGAAUCCCUUGCUGCUCUCGAGUACGCGCAGACCCGGCUGCGUGGACGGCGCUGAGGAUGACGCCGGGAUCGGUGGCUGGCCAAGCGGGAUCAGCAGUGAGAGCAGCUCGCAGAGUCGGGGCUCGAGCCCAGGCGACGGCGACAUCGGCACGGGAAAGGCCCAGGGUCGCCAUCCGUUGGCCGUCAAGGGCGAUUCUGCACACGACCAGCAAGCGGCCGACACCGCUGCCGUGCUUACGCGACUGUACGCGUUGGCACUAUCGGCAGAGGACCCAGCCGCUGAUGUGCCUCUGAAUGCCGAGGCCGCCACACAGCAGCAGCAGCAGAACAGUGGUGGCAGCGACCAACAUCGGGUCGGCGAUGCGGCUGCCUUGUCAAUGGGCACUCACACCCUCUUCUCAGCCGCUGUCCCCCCAGCCAUGCUCUCGUCGGGCAGCGGGCUGAAUCUUGUCGCACUCGGCGCCUCCGUCACGUACGCAUGUGAUGCGCUGCACUGGGGUCGACUCCAGAUGAUGGUGCGGUACCCGCUGCUGUUUCGGGCCAUUCCAGCUCCUGCCGAGACGAGCACCACUGUCGCGCUCGCAGGCGGUGGUGAGGCACUCACGGUGGAAGCGAUGGCACGCAUGAGUGGCACCUUAGGUAUGGCGCGCACCGCCGCCACCGUUUUCUCGCCGGCUUCAGAAACGCCGCCUGACUCGACUGCAGGCAACUGCGACGCGACGCCUCCUUCCUCUGCUUCUCUUCUCGCCUACAUGUCGUCUCUGUAUGGUGCUGCCGGCUCCAUCUUCAGCCCGGCGCGUCUGCGCACGUCAUCACCGCCGCUGCUCUUCCCUCCUUUACCGAGCCUCGUCACGGAUGGCUUCUUGUUUACUCGGCUGCUGAUCUGCAGUGCGUGGCUUCUCGUCUACGCUGACGGUCUCUUUGGCAGCGACGACAGCGUAGCGAGUGUGGAACCGACCCAGUCUGUCACUAGCGGCAGAGGCCGCGGUGGCGGCGCCUGGCCACGAGUACGCCCCACCCCAGCCGUGCAGGCCAUCGUCGCCUACUGCGUUGCAGUCGUCCGCGAGGCUCGUGAGAUGAGCGCUGGCGUUACCGCCGCUGCCCGCUCAGGUCACGGCAGCCUCAACGGCACUGUUUGCUGCCCUGUGUGCGAUGACCUGGUCAAGGAGAAGCAGCCGGUGCUGUGGUGGUCAACGCUGUGUGAUGACCGCGCUUCAUGGCGAGCGCAAGUUCGCUCUGUGCUGGAGAACAGCAGCACCGACGGCGAUGAGGCGGAGAUUGCGGCGGCUCUGACAGAUCAUCUCGCCUGCGAAGGACGUGGCCGCCGAUAUGCGACACCGUUGCUGAGUGGCUCUGAGGGGGCGCCGUGCCGAGUAACCGCGCUGCAGCAGCGCUGGGGGGCGUACAUAAUGCGGGCCGAUGCUUCGGCGACCGAUUACCGCUCCGCCGCCGCCACUUCUGUCACACGCAGUGGCGCCGAGGAUACAUCCGUUAGGGUUGACGCUGUGGAGGCUGAUGCGGACUUGCAAACGGGCGGCGCCGCCGCUGACGCCCGUGGCACAGCUGGUGACAGCGCGAAAGAGGCGGCAGCGUCAGCGGAGGCGCUGUGGACGGCGCUCACGCAGCGCAUCGCAGCCGCCACGGACUUCUGUGUCUUUCUCUCGGCGCACCCGACCGAGUCCGCCGCCUCUGAUUCUCCUGCGGCAGCAUCAGUGACCAGUGGCCGCCCGAAGCGUCCUCGAGCCGAGUACGACAAGGACGCGGCAUCCCGAACACUUCUCCGCCAUCGGAGGCAGGAUAGGCACCACCGUGGUGAGCGCGCAGUCGGCUCUGACGACAGCGACGACAGUGAGUGGGGCGAUGAAAACGGUACUCGCGCCGACAAAGCCUCGCGUGCCGGCGUCGCGCUGCGGGGGAGCCGACACGCUGUCGAGGAGGCCGAGGAGUGGGGCCGGCUGCUGUGCCGGUGCGGCUGGGCGAACGCGGCCCCACCGUCUGGCGCGACCUCCCUGCGCGUGUACGAGGAGUGGGCAUCGUCAUUGUUCUUGCCGUCUGCCAUCCCGACACCUCAGCAAGCGGCCACGCUGCGUCGCCGACUUUCGCGCUACAGCCUCGAGGAAGUUGUGCGUAAGCUAGUGCUUGGCCGUGGAGGCAGCUGGGAUCGCUAUGCGCGGCUACUGUUUGGCGACGACGUGCGAACCGAUUCCACCGCAUCACCGUUCUGUCCACCACCAGCCAUGGAAGUAGGUGCUGCUGAAACGAACGACGCUCCUGCGCAGCCGAUGGCACAAUCACCAGCGUCACAUUCCAGUCCGCGGCCAAGGGCGCCGUCUCUCUCGCUAUUAGAAGAGGCAGUGCCAGACACGGAAGGCGUGCACGUACCACACAUGCAUGUGAACCCACGUGCUACGCAGAUAUCGCCUCCCCCGCGGCAGCUGAUAGCCGCAGCGCAAUCAACUCCGCACUGUUCUUCAGGCCUCGCGCUAUCCCCACCGUUGCCCUCCGACGCAGCCCCUGCCAACGCGGACGCCGACGCGAACCACGCCGUUGCUGCGGAGCGGUGGGCAGCAACGCCAGUCGGUAAGGGAAAGGUGCCGUCCAUCCCGCUGCUCGUCUCGCCGCUGACGCGGCAGCACCAGAUGAGGGCUGUUUUGGGUGCUGCUGCAGCACCACCACCACCGCUGCCGUCGCCGGCAGAUGCGGUUGAUCGCGCGACAAGCGUGGUCCCCGAGUGCGUUUCCGAUGCCGACGCGGCACCUGCGCGGCGGACGGAUGCAUCGGCGAGAACGUCUCUCUCUGUGCCUCUAGAGCAGCUUCGUGCUCAGCAGGCUGCUUUGUACGACUUGCUGCGCUUCCGGCCACGCCUGCCGCCGUUGCGAGAGGAGGACGCCGUGCUGGAGUGCGCCUCGUGCUUCUCGCUCUUCCACCAGGAGUGCAUUGCGCCGGUGCAGCGGAACUUUAUGGGGCAGACAUUCCUGUGCCACACAUGCCGAUUGCGAUGGGCGCGGCCCUACGUGGCAGGAUGUGGGCUCGCGCACCAAGCACCAGAGCAACACCACGACCCUGAGGUGGCAGGUGGCCGCUGUGCAGCUGAUCGGCCUUGAAGCCUCGGUGAGGAGGGAGGCACCGCUCGCGAUGCUUCGUGAAGCGACGUGCUUCACUAGGAGUUGUUCUGCAGCGCAGAGGUGCAUCUGUUGUGCCUCACUUGCCUUUUCACACACGCACACGCAUAUAUAUAUAUAUGUGUGUGUGUGUGUGUGCGUGUGCCUGAGUGUGUUGUGCGCCAGCCAGAUGACAGCCGCCACUGCUUCAUGGACAGCUGCUCGGUGAUACAUUCUGAGCGGAGCUGCUUCCCUCCAUCGUAUUAGUCCAGCUACCCCUUCCCGUCGGCUUCUCUUCAUGUGCUGCUGCUUGCCGACGGUUGUGUGCGCGCCGCGUACGACUCUGUGUGCUGCAUCUUGGCGCCCGCGCACGCACACAGCGCAGCUCUGCUGCUUUGCUUCGCGGGCCCUCCCGGUUUCCCACUGCUGCAGUCCGGGCCAUCACCGUUCUGCCCGAUUUCUCCGGCUCUCUCGCAGCGUUUCUUGCCAUUUUGGACCCGUGUAUGUGUCCGCGCAUGUGCUUGGUGGCGCGCCUAGUUCCGAUGGGCACUCCACACAGCUGCACCCUCCGUCACGCACACUAUCUGCCAUACAUGCGCGUCCCUGUGGAUUAGUAUCAUUAUUCACCGACGCACUGCUAGCAGCCGGCAUCCGGCCUACACGCACACACAGACAUGCUCGGACCUUCGCCACGCGCGCAUUGCGGCUCACUGCUGUUCUAGACGCCCCGAAUACAUCUCGCACGACACACACACACACACGCGCGCGCAGACGUUGACUGCUCUCGGCUUACACUGCUCUCCCUUCUCCACUUCCCGACUCCUCUGUUAUCACCUCGCAG
rnacentral:misc_RNA from 1 species